rnacentral:ncRNA from 1 species
UACACUCGCAGCUUGGUGCCGCGGCAAAAAGGUGUUGCAUACCCUUGUGCUAGUGGAAGCAGGAAAGAAUGUGCAAAUUUAGAGUGAGAGGUCCGAACAGUAUCCGAUUUUUGCGAUUGGGAAGAUUGCGCGUGGCCACGCCCAUUCCAAGGAUGCUUUCUUUAAUCAAGAACGAAAGUAAGAGGAUCGAAAGCGAUUAGCAAUUGGGAGACGCUACAACCAGGUGCACUCAGUAGCUUCCGGGAAACCAAAAUCAGGUUCCAGGGGAAGUAUGGUUGCAAAGUUGAAACUUAAAGGAAUUGACGGAAGGGCACCACAAGAAAUGGAGCCUGCGGUUCAAUUUGACUCAACACGGGAAAACUUACCAGGUCCGAACUUAUCGAGGUGAGACAGAUUAAUAGCUCUUUCUCAAAUUUAAGGGUAGUGGUGCAUGGCCGUUCUUAGUUCGUGGAAUGAUUUGUCUGGUUAAUUCCGAUAACGAACGUGACUCACAUAUGCUAACUAGAACGCAGUCAGCGUUAAUGCGUUGAUGCCGUAUUGGAACGGGUUAGGACCUUUCGGUGGAGUAUGACCUGACAGUUUCACCGGGGUGUGCGCAAGUGCACCUUUGGUACGCUGCUUAGCAGGACAAUUU